ensembl:misc_RNA 7SK 7SK RNA
CGAUGGGAGGGCGCUCCGGCCGCGGCACCCGAAACCCCAGUGAUCACCAGGGCCGGGCGGGCGUCCCCUUCCCCCUCACCACCCCGCGUGCGUCCCUCCUGAUGGUGAGCGACCUCCAAAGAGGACGACCCUCCCCGAUAGAUGACAGCCGUGCUUCAGUCAAGGGCGUACCAGCAGAGACACUCGGCUGUGAGCUCUCCAGACCAGCUCUCAGAGGCU